AAAGAAAAACACAUGUGUAAGAAAAAAUGCAGUUAAGCACUUUUCAUUCUGUAAUGAUCCUUCCGUAGGUGAACCUGCGGAAGGAUCAUUA
rnacentral:rRNA from 1 species